AGUGAACGCUGGCGGUAGGCCUAACACAUGCAAGUCGAACGGCAGCACAGUAAUAGCUUGCUCUUACGGGCGGCGAGUGGCGGACGGGUGAGGAAUACAGCGGAAUCUACUUGUUCGUGGGGGAUAACGUAGGGAAAAUUACGCUAAUACCGCAUACCACCUAGGGGUGAAAGCAGGGGAUCUUCGGACUUUGCGGUUGUGAAUGAGCCGGUGUCGGAUUAGCUAGUUGGUGGGGUAAAGGCCCACCAAGGCGUUGCUGGGUAGCCGGUCUGAGAGGAUGAGCGGCCACAUUGAGACGGGGAUAGGGCCCAGACUCCUACGGGAGGCCGCAGUGGGGAAGAUUGCACAAUGGGCGGAAGCCUGAUGCAGCAACGCCGCGUGCGGGAUGACGGCCUUCGGGUUGUAAACCGCUUUCAGCAGGGGCGAAGCUUGUGGUGACGGUACCUGCAGAAGAAGCACCGGCUAACUACGUG
rnacentral:rRNA from 1 species